UGGGGAAUUUUGGACAAUGGGCGAAAGCCUGAUCCAGCAAUGCCGCGUGUGUGAAGAAGGCCUUCGGGUUGUAAAGCACUUUUGUCCGGAAAGAAAUCCUUGGCUCUAAUACAGUCGGGGGAUGACGGUACCGGAAGAAUAAGCACCGGCUAACUACGUGCCAGCAGCCGCGGUAAUACGUAGGGUGCAAGCGUUAAUCGGAAUUACUGGGCGUAAAGCGUGCGCAGGCGGUUUGCUAAGACCGAUGUGAAAUCCCGGGCUCAACCUGGGAACUGCAUUGGUGACUGGCAGGCUAGAGUAUGGCAGAGGGGGGUAGAAUUCCACGUGUAGCAGUGAAAUGCGUAGAGAUGUGGAGGAAUACCGAUGGCGAAGGCAGCCCCCUGGGCAAGUACUGACGCUCAUGCACGAAAGCGUGGGGGAGCAAACAGGAUUAGAUGCCCUGGUAGUCCACGCCCUAAACGAUGUCAACUAGUUGUUGGGGAUUCAUUUCCUUAGUAACGUAGCUAACGCGUGAAGUUGACCGCCUGGGGAGUACGGUCGCAAGAUUAAAACUUAAAU
rnacentral:rRNA from 1 species